UGCCAGAAGCUCUGCAUCUGUGGUCAGUGCUACACUGUGUUUUGGUAAAACUCCUAGUUCAUCUUCCAUCUUUCUGCUGGAUCUAAAUAAAGUCCUGGAGGACAGACACACUGUCCCCUCUUCACACAGCCUGACUAACAGAAGUGCUUGAAAAGUGUGGGGUGGCUGACGGAGGCCUCUUAUGUGCCACCAAGUGCCAGACACCUGUAUCCCCUGCUCCCUCCUUGAAUACUUAUAACAGUCUUUCAGACAAGCGUUAUGAUUGCUGAAGACAUUGAUGCCCCAGAGGGACAUGGUUUACUGUAGGCCAGAGCCAGGUAGGAACAGGGUGGCUGGCACCCAGUCAGGGACCACUGGCAGCUUCAACUCCAGGGUGGGGGCCCUGCCACUGCAGAACCAGGUGCUCGGUGUGACAGUGCCUCAUGUAGGUCGUUUCAUUUCCUUUGGCUUCAGGCACAUGAGCGGUUUGAUGUGGGUCUCAGAUGCAUCUCCCUGGAGAGGGUGGGUGGAAGGUGUUGAGGGAUUAACUUGUGUGGCCUCUUGACAAGCCUCCAUCCUUUUCCCUAGCGGGGUUUUUUGAGGGGAGAGGGACAGUCAAGCCACUUGUCCCCAGCCCUGACAGCCCUGACUCUUGCUCCCCAUAGAAGCAGAAGCUGAUUCCAGAAAAGCACCCCACCAAGACAUGCCCCGACCCAAGAUCUGCCAGCAAAACCACACAGCCUCCCGCAGAAUCUGUCUACACGGCCCUGCAGCGCCGAGAGACCGAGGUCUACGCCUGUAUUGAGAACGAGGCUGGCAGUCCAGCCUCUGCCCAAAGCCAGCCCUCCCAGGAGAAACUGCAUAAAUUUGAGGAUGACAACGAAUUUAACUUGGUCUAUGAAAAUCUCUAGGAGAAGUUCUGCCAACCACGGGUCUUGUCCUGGACCAGAGGCCCUGGCGCAGCCCCUCAUGCCAAAGGACUUAAUCUGAACCAGGAGUAUGGCCUCCAGGGACAUACUAUCACCCUCAUCCUUACACUCAAGGCCCUCCUUUCCUCCGCCUGCCCCUCUCCCUCCCCCAUCCUGCACCCCAGCCUGAGCCUUUGCCCAGGCUGUUCCUCGUGCCAACUGGGCUCUUCCUCCCAUGGCCCAGUCAACAAAGUGCUUCUCACUCAGAAAGGAAGUGGCCUUUUUCCUGAAGCCCUCCUCACCAUCUUAUGCCCACCCCACAGAGUUUACAUGGCUGUCUUGGUCUAGGGGCAGACAAUGAUCUGCAAGGAAGACACAGCAGGGACCCUGCCAAUGCCGUGCAUGGGCACUGAGGAUGGACUAGCAGGGGACUGCAGAUGCUCCUACCUGCCCAGCUAGUCCAAAAGCACAAGGUGGCCUUGCUGGUGUGGCAGGGGUGGGGGAUGGGCAAGGAUGUUGAGCCACACAGAUGCUGGACUGGGCCCAGGGCCAGAUAUCAAGGCCAAGGAUGGAGCAAGUGGUGACUGUCAAACUGGGGCCCUGGAGCAGGGAGGGUUCCAUACAUGCAGGUAAGGAAGGACAUUCUGACGUGGGGAAUGGGGGGUGGAGGGCUGGUAAACAUGGCCUAAAGUUCUGUGUCCCAUCAUCCCAGUCCCUGUGAUGUCUGUGCUACUAUGCUCUCUGCCUGUUACCUCUGCUCCUCAGGCCUCUCCUCCACCUGAGGCCUCAGCUGCUCCUCCUUCCACCCUAAGGCCCAGUGCCCCAAAGUCCCCUCUAACUGGCCUGUCCUGGCCCGCAAUCGUUGACUUCAUUCAAUCCUUCUCUGUCUUUAUUUAUCUCCGGACCCACCCCUGGCCCAUGUGGGUAGAGGCCAGAUGGACCCAGCACCCAUCCUAGCUGUCUGUAGGCCACCUCUUUCCCAUUGUAGCCCUGUUUGGUGGCCAGCCUCCCCUGAAUGGGUGGAGGAGUCUCUGUGUGCAGUUCAAGUGGUAGAUGGUAACUCCUCAGUGUCUGGUCUUUAGCCUUUUUGCUCCUCCAAGUGCCCACAGGACCCCUUGUUUCAUAGUCCAUGUGGUCCUGCUAUGUAACAGAAACCAUUUCCCAGGUAGAUAUGGGCUCAGGUGUCUCUCACCCAGACUAUCACGCUCUGUCCCCUCCCUCACCUCCUCUGCCUUGGCUUGCCAACUGUUUUUUCAUCUGUGAAUGGACAGGUCAGACUUCUCUCCCCACCACUCAGGCUGCUCCAGAGGUUCCUGGGGGUGUCCUCAUAUCAGACCUCAAAUGCAGUCAGUGAGGGAAGGGCCCCAAUAUGUAGGCCUGACCCUGGCCCCAGCAGCACUGGGCCAUCAACCUUUUAGGCAGCACAUAUCCAUUCUACAGGUCAGUCUCCCUCUUCAGAGACAGAAAGGCUGGGAGUGGGAGUGGGUACAGAUUGACUUCUGCAAGUCCCUAUGGCACAGGCCUCCCUGGGCCCACAUGACAACCAGCAGCCUCCCAGCUUGCUUCUUGGCCUCAGCGUGUGAACCAAUGGCAAGGAGGGCUCCUAGGGGCUCACAGAGCUGAGCAGAGAGGCCCCAUGCUCCUGGAGGCUGGGUUUAAUGAACUCCAGGCCUGCUGAGGGAGGAAAGCUGCCUUGUGCAGAGCUGCUUUCCAGGCUCCUGACUCCAGCAGCCUGAGGUGGGGGCCAGGACAAAGGUGAAAACUCAACUGGAAGCCAGCAAGACCAAGAGGAGGCCUACUCACUGGCUGCUUCCCCCACCUCCUGGGCCUCUCUGUUCUAGGCCCCUGGAGUCUAGCCAGUACUUAGGUUUUUCCAGCCUUUUCCAGGGGAGUGAGGGAGCUUGGUGGGGACUUGACCUCAUGCUGUGACCCAGGCCUCACCACAACAGCUCCCUGCAGCUGCCCUGCCCCCACAGUCUCUCCCAAAGCAGCCAAGAGAACUGACAAAACCUGCUUGAAGUCUUGUUCCAGCUCCAGACAAAACUUUCCAGGGCUCCUGCUUCACUUGGAAUAAAAUCCCAGCUCCUCCCUGUGGUCUAUGAGCCCCUCAGAGACUGAUCUAUCACCUCUUGGGUGACACAGAUGCUGCUUGAGAGGUGUCUGAGUCUGGCUCAGGGUGACGUUGGGAGACCAGUGGGUGCCAAGGUCUCCAGAGAGUUAGGAGAGGGGUAAGGAAAGGGAGAAGGAGAACUGCCCAUGGAAGCCUGGCUUUCCAGUGACAAUCCAGACCUCAGUGUGCCUCUGGGAAGACAGGUGAGGAAGUCCCUGGCUCAUGCAGAGCCUGGCAGGUGCGCACUUCCUGGACACUCAUCCGUCAGGGAAGCAGGAAGUGCGGCCAGUGUGAAGGGACUGCUAAGUAAGGGGCAGGCCUCCUGGGAAGGGAGCCUCCUCAUGACAGGUUCCAGCAGCCCAGAGCUAAGGACACAGGGAAGCAAAGUGGGAAGGGGAGCCCCAUAAGAGGAGCAUCUAAGAGUUGAGAGGAGGCGCCAAGGGAGCAACUGAGUAGAACAUGUAAGGCUCAGAGAAGGGAUUUGAGGAAGGCCCAUGGGACCACCCCAAGGACAGACCUGGACCCUGAGUGGUAGGAGAAGCCUCAGUCAGGGCUCUGCCCCAGGACCUCGAGCAGAAAGGCAGUCAGUAGCUCAGCUUCUUGGUGAACCCUCCGUCUGCCUGGCCUGUUCCUGCCCGGUUGGGAUUCCCACCAGCUCUCUCGGCAUAGCCUGCCUUAUUGCCGAGGUCCUGCCAGCUGCCAGCCUUCAGAGCCUCAGCACAUUUGAAAUGUUUCAACACCCCUGCCACCCUCAGGCUCCCUACCCUCUGCCUCUCCCAGGGGUGGUAAAUGACUAGAAAUUGAUGCCUGCCCCCUCUAACAGGUUUCAACCUCCUCCCCGCUUGGCUCCUGCUCCUCCCAGCACUUGUGUGAGAAAAUCACCACUGGAAACCAAGCCUAGGAACUUAAUGUGGGUGCAGCAGCCGUGGCCCCCCCACCCAGACAGAAAUUUCCAGAGAAUUCUGUGCAGCAGUUUCCAUGGGAACAUGUGCCUCUUACUACCGAUCCUCUGUGGAGCUGGGGUUCCCUUCACAACCAAUAUCACAAGACUUUAGCAGGUGGCCUCGACUGGGGACAGCCACCACUCUGGCCACCAGCUCUCACUAACCUGAAAUCAAGUUACAGGCAAAACCUGCUUCUUUUUUCCCAUCUAAUUUAAAGGCUGUGCUCCAGGCUAAGGACGCCGCUGGGAUUUCAGGGAUGGAUUUUUAUGUUGUUCAACAGUUUUCUUGGCAGACAGCUCCUCCAGGAGAGGUGGCCCCUUACCUGAGCCCAGCCAGACUGAGUGGUGUCUCUCUGUUCCUCUUGAAUGCCAGGGGAUGGCAUUUGGAGUCUCUGAAUCCAGACUCGGGCAUUGAGGACAUGAACACAGGACUCUGGGAUAACUGCUUUCUAUGCUUCUCCUUUGAGCUAUGGUCAGAAUCUUGGCCUGAGACUUGACCCAGCUCAGGCCUGCACCCUGUGUGUACUUGGCGUUGGUAUGUGCUCACUGUGUGUAUCUAAGCAAGCAAGUGGUACAAAUUGACUCUGAUGCACCUGCCAUAUCCCGGUCUCCUUUGAAUGCCCUCCCCACAGGUCACUUACUUGGUUUAUUUGGGAGAGAGUCCUUCCUGCUGCUUUUAUUGCAUCUGUGUACAUAUAUGGGAACAGAUAAAACACAGAAUGUUUGUGGGGGGUCCUGAAGAGCUUGCUUGGUGUCAUUCUGUAGGUGUUGUUUGCACUGGGGAUCUGCCCAAGCUAGCAUAUCGGAGCUGCCAGACUCUAAUUAUAGCAGAGGACUCACAGGAAGGAUGGAUCCUAAUUUAAUCAAUCGGGCCCCUAUCAAUGGCCUCCUCAGUUGUUUACAAUUUUUCAACCUCGCCUAAGAUAAUGCAGGGAACAUGCUUGCACGCCCCUCCUUGAAUGUAUCUUCCAAGCUUUCUCCACAGAGAAAUGAUAAGAAGAGGUUUCUGGGAGUCCUGAGUGUGGACGUUUUAGUGUUUCAACAGACACUGCCAUGUGUCAGGCAUGGAUGUGGUUACUUGGACUCUUUCGCUACAGAAAGAGUCCUAAAUACACUCCUCAUUUAAUCCUAAAUACACUCCUGCAAGGUGGGAGCUGAAUGGCCACCAAUUUAAAGAAGCAGAAUCUGCAGUUCAGAGAGGCUGAUUGGCUGAAGGUCACACAAUCCAAAGGGGGCAGCCUCCAAAUGUGCUUGGUUCUCCUGUGGCCACGGGCCAGCUGAAGGGGUGAUGUGACCCAUACGGGCUAAACAGAGAGAGCCAUUGAGAGACUUGUGCUUCCAGGGCUGGGGGACACCAUGGAAAGACAAUUUCCUUCAGAGAUGGCCCAUCACCUCACUGCUCACAUCCACCUUCUCAAAAUUGUGUGUGUGUGUUCUGUGUCUUUGGGGAAAGGUCAGUAGAGGUCAUGGUGUUGCACAUGCUCAGUUUCCAACAUGAGGCCUGGUCCUAGCAGCCUGGAUAUUUGGAUCUCAGGUGUUCCCUGGGAAUUCCCAGACACAGCAAGCCUGGAGGUGUGAGCUGCCUCUUAGAAGCUUCCUCAUCUGGGAUAAUGCUGCUGUAAUUGGCACUGUUCUGCCCUUACAACCCUCUUAUUGCCUAAAAACUUACCUUGGAAGUGGUUAUGACUGGUGUGGGUCUUAUUUUACCACUUUGUGGACUGUGGGGGAUUGAGGAGUCCUGGCCUUUUCUCUGUCUCCCCCAUGCCUGCCCUGAUGCCCUGAGGGCCAGAUUCUGGCUGACAUCCUGGCCUUGGUUCAGGAGAUGCCCCACCCCUGGUUCCCCACCACAGGUCUGAGCCCAUCUGGGAGCUGCUUUUUUCCCCACAUUCCCCCUCUUUUCUGUAUCAAACCCACCUAUUAGAGCCUCCUUCCAACCCCCUCCUUCUUUCAGCCCUUCCUGGUCUCUCUGCCAAGUUAAUUGAUCUUUCUAUAGCACAGAUCUCACCAGGUCACUCUCCUCUCAAAGGGUUAUGGUCAAAUUCAUUGCAACAAGGGAGUCAAACUCCUUCAAUGGGUAAAAACAAUCUUUUCAACAAAUAGUGCUGGGAGAACUAGACCUUCAUGUGCUCAAGGAUGACUUUGGACUCCUACCUCAUGCCCCAUACCCAACCUCACUGUGGUUUCAACUGUCCAAAGAAUCAAGGUUUGAUCCCUUAGCCAGGCCCUCAGGUCUCCCACAACCGCUUCAUUCUUUCAACAACAUUGAUCCAGCUCCAACUACCUGUUUGGCCCUGUGCUGGGGCUGGAAUGAAAGACAGAUUUUACCACCUCACAUCUGAUCAGCUCCUGCUGUCCCAAAGUCACACUCCAAGCCCCCAUCCAUGCCUGCUGUUCCUCAAGAUGCUCACUCCCCACCUGUGAACCUGUGCACCUUCUGUUCCCUCUGCUCCAAGGCCCUUACCCCAUUGUUUGCUUGAGAAAUUCCUGCUUAACUGCCACCUCUUCCAUGAAGCCUCCCUAAGUCCCUGUCCCCCCGCCCUAUCUUCUUAUCACCUCGAGUUGAGUCAAUUCACACACAUCCAUCUCCCCCAGGAGGCCCCAAGCUUCUCCAGCAUGGAAAACACCUAAUUUGUCUCUCUUUGUCUGUGUCUGAGCCGUAGACGGGGCUCAAGAGCCAUUUGUUUUAAGAAUAAAUGAGUUCUUUCCUUUGCUGGCCAUU